GGGGGAAACCCUGAUGCAGCGACGCCGCGUGAAGGAAGAGUAUCUCGGUAUGUAAACUUCUAUCAGCAGGGAAGUAUAGUGACGGUACCUGACUAAGAAGCCCGGCUAACUACGUGCC
rnacentral:rRNA from 1 species